rnacentral:rRNA from 1 species
CGCUGUCACUCCUACGGGAGGCAGCAGUGGGGAAUAUUGCACAAUGGGGGAAACCCUGAUGCAGCCAUGCCGCGUGUGUGAAGAAGGCCUUCGGGUUGUAAAGCACUUUCAGUAGGGAGGAAGGUAGUGUAGUUAACACCUGCAUUAUUUGACGUUACCUACAGAAGAAGCACCGGCUAACUCCGUGCCAGCAGCCGCGGUAAUACGGAGGGUGCGAGCGUUAAUCGGAAUUACUGGGCGUAAAGCGCAUGCAGGCGGCCUGUUAAGUCAGAUGUGAAAGCCCGGGGCUUAACCUCGGAAUUGCAUUUGAAACUGGCAGGCUAGAGUCUUGUAGAGGGGGUAGAAUUUCAGGUGUAGCGGUGAAAUGCGUAGAGAUCUGAAGGAAUACCAGUGGCGAAGGCGGCCCCCCUGGACAAAGACUGACGCUCAGAUGCGAAAGCGUGGGGAGCAAACAGGAUUAGAUACCCUGGUAG